rnacentral:rRNA from 1 species
UACGUAGGGGGCUAGCGUUGUCCGGAUUUAUUGGGCGUAAAGAGCUUGUAGGCGGUUUGUCGCGUCUGCUGUGAAAACUCGAGGCUCAACCUCGAGAUGUCGGCGGAAACCGUCUGGCUAGAGUCCGGAAGAGGAGAGUGGAAUUCCUGGUGUAGCGGUGAAAUGCGCAGAUAUCAGGAAGAACACCUAUGGCGAAGGCAGCUCUCUGGGACGGUACUGACGCUGAGACGCGAAAGCGUGGGGAGCGAACAGG